UACGGAGGGUGCAAACGUUGCUCGGAAUCAUUGGGCGUAAAGCGCACGUAGGCGGUCCAGCAAGUCGGGUGUGAAAGCCCUCGGCUUAACCGAGGAAGUGCAUUCGAAACUACUGGACUUGAGUACUGAAGAGGAUCGCGGAAUUCCCGGUGUAGAGGUGAAAUUCGUAGAUAUCUGGAGGAACACCGGUGGCGAAGGCGGCAUCCUGGACCAACACUGACGCUGAGGAGCGAAAGCCAGGGGAGCAAACGGG
rnacentral:rRNA from 1 species